GCCGUGGCUCAGUGGCAGAGUCUCCGCUUGACAAUCAGAAGGUCCCAGGUUCAAUCCCUAGCAUCUCCA
rnacentral:tRNA from 1 species